rnacentral:rRNA from 1 species
UACGGAGGAUCCAAGCGUUAUCCGGAAUCAUUGGGUUUAAAGGGUCCGUAGGCGGCCUUAUAAGUCAGUGGUGAAAUCUCACGGCUCAACCGUGAAAUGGCCAUUGAUACUGUAGGGCUUGAAUUACCAGGAAGUAACUAGAAUAUGUAGUGUAGCGGUGAAAUGCUUAGAUAUUACAUGGAAUACCGAUUGCGAAGGCAGGUUACUACUGGUGGAUUGACGCUGAUGGACGAAAGCGUGGGUAGCGAAC